UCUUAAUGAUGACCAACCAUGCUAAUAUUGAGAAAACUUUAGGUUUUCGCUGAGUAAAAACUAACUUCUCAACCCGCUGAAAGAG